GAGCUCCUGUGGCAGCACAUAUACUGAAACUGAAACAAUACAGAGAAGAUUGACACGGCCCCUGUGCAAGGAUGACAUGCACAUUUGUGAAGCGUUCCACAGUUUU